GAUUCUGUGCUUACCAAGCUACCUCAUGAUUACAAACCGACUUUCCACAUAGGUUUGCCCACAGGAAGAGGCGCUGCUGGGGCCAUCCGGGGGUUCCGGGAUGUGGGCAGUAACAGCUCUCACUGUAACUGAGUCUGUUGGCACUCUGUAUCGCUUGGCUCGGCUGACGCAAGUCUGUCCCGAAGAGUCAGAGCCGCUCCUGAUGUGCCUACAGAAUCUGGUUUCAGAAAACCGCCGUGCGGAGCCACAGACUCUGGACAGUGGUAGAUUCACCAAGGGGCUGCAUUUGAUUUUUUUUGGCGUUGUUUACAACACCCAGCACUAGCAGACGCUCAACAAAAUCUAAUCUCACCAUAUGGAUGGAGAAGCCAAUGUCCCCUGCUUCCCUCUCAGGAUAAAGACAAGGUUUAUCCCCAAAGAUGGAGGCCAGAGGAUUACCCAAGUCACCAAACGGAGGAGAUUAGACUUCACCCCCAGACAUAGAGACCUGCAUUGUGAAGCUGACUCUGAGAAAGGAUGUGAGAUCUGUCACGCGCCGUGGUGGUGGAGUCAGGACUAGAGCACCUAAGUGUCUCAUGUGUACCUUGGAGGUCAGAUAACUUCAGACCCUGGGAAUCGAUGUUCCAUCCGCUGGAAAAGCAGACGGGACUGCACCAAUGGACUUUUUGUUGUUGUUGUUAUACUGGUGUCAAGCUCAAUUUUACCUUUAAUCUCCAAAAUAUAAGAAGCAUCACAGCAUCAUCCAUUUCUAUGAAGUUAAGUUAUCAAAAUAUGGGAGAUUACCGACAUUUGACAAUGGAAAAACAUUGAACACUAACUCCAGAUAAGAUACUGUGCUAAGUACUAAACGGGAAAAAAAGGAGAUACAAAUCAUAAUGUUUACGGAAUUUAAAUGGAUCGUAAGAAUAGUUGCCAUUUAAUGUGUGUCUGCUAUGUUCCAGUGAAUCCCUGGGUGGUGCAAACAGCUAACACACUCAG